ACACUUGUUAUGUUAAUCCAUAUGGAUAUUCUCAUUAAAAUGAGAGGGAACACUUCUCUUAUUUUUUUUUCCUGACUUCUUGUUCCCUUGAUCUCAUUUAUGCAACAUGAAAAAGAAAGAUAAAAAGAUAAAGUACUUUUUUCAUCUGUAUGUUGUAUAUUGAUUGACAAACCAAACAAGUAGUUAAUUUUCCACUGUAGUUCCAGAAUUUGAAAUCUACUACAACAAAGUGUUUAUGUUUAGCUGUGUUCUUUCCAUUUCUCUGAAAAUUUGUGUGGGCUUUUUAAAUCUGAAGUGAACUAACCUUACCUACAGUUUAGAGGUAAUAAAGCAGGUGUUAUCCUCUAACAGUCAUUUAUUUCCAUGUUCUGGAAGUAACAGCACUAAGUGCUCUUCUCACCCAAGCACCUUGACCCAAAUUCUAUUGUCAGUUACUGGUAUGAACUUGUUGUUGUCAUUAAAUUACAUCACAGAAAUAAAAUGAGUGCAGCACUCUAAAGAAAAUUGGAUAUAAAUAAUAUUUUUGGAAUAAAUCCUGACUUUGGUGGAAACAAUUUCCAUCUUUAUUCAUAGGUAACCAUCAAACAAAGAACUCUGAACUCUCUAUGCAUAAUGAAUAUUUUACAGCAAAAUUCUGUUAAGUUUUAAUCAAUUUUACAGUUACAUUGUGUUAUUACUAGUGUUUGCAUUUACUGCUUAUGUCUCCUACUUCUCAUGGUUUUUUUUAUUUCAGUGGAAGGAUCUGGUACCAAGUAGGGUUCACAACCAUCAUAGUCAAAUCAGGACUAAGAUGUCCUAUCUGUACUCAGAAUUCGUGAACACCCAUGUCUGAAAACUCUUGCAAAGACACUAAAAUAUCUAAUAUCUAUGCUCGCAGGGAAGUAGAACAUUCAACUUUUUGGUCCAGUUAUCAAUGACAUCAGCAAUCAAUGUAUCUGUACAAGAAAAAAACCUUAACUGUUUCUAAUCAAUUUUACAGUAGGAUUACAAAUGGCAUGUGCCUUUGUUUCAUGUUACUGCUUUAAAUGACCAUUUGUCUAGAGUGAGACAAGUUUAGUUUAUUACAUUUUUGUUGUUUUAUAGUUGUGUUAACAAGUAAUGAGCCUGCAACUGCUACAGCUUUUGGAAAAAAAUCACUGGAAUGUCAGAACAUCUGCAAAGACUGUCAAAAAAGACAAAAAAACACAAUAACAAUUUUUGCAAGCCUGUAUCAUUCACAUAACACUAAAGAGGGAAAACACAUACUCUGGACAGGCAUAGCUGAGAUAAAACCAGCAUGACAUCAAAUAUGAUGCUUUCAAAGCAUUGUAUGUCUGAGCAAGUGCACAGACACAAGCAGUGAUUCUGUAGUUCUAGUAAUUCUAGACAUAAAGUCUCUGCAAACUUGCAUACUCAAAUUAGUAAAACUCACUUAAAAUGUUAGCACUUUUAUUUAUGACUUAAUUCCUGUGAAAUUGAGCAGGACAAAAUAAAUGUCACCUUUGAAUCAACAAUAUUCCCCUCAAUUUACAUUUUAUGCCUCUUGAGAGGCCAUUUAUGCUGAAAUAUUGAACACUAAUUUGUUAUUCUACUCACUUUGAUGUACAGGAUUUGAUUUUAAAGGCUCUGCACUUAAGAAGAAAAGCCUGUAUGUGUGCACUUUGUUUUAAGAAACUGAUUAAGGGAUUUGUUACCAUUUAAGUACUGUGUUGCACAUGACACAGCCUUUAACACAACAGUACUUGCAGAAUUUAACCACAGAGUCACUGUAAAUGGGAAUAAAAUAAACCCAAGGAAAGAAUUAUAUCCUUAGAGCAAUACUUAUGUAACUGUACUUCGAGCUAGUGACUUGCCACAGUGGAAGAGAAUAUGCUGUUUGCAUGCAAUUCUAUAAAUUAAAAAGACAUGAUAUGCAGAACACUGCUAUUUAAAAAUAAAAACAGCCAAAACCAACAUGAAAAGCAAAUCACAGCAUACGUUAUAAAAAGGUGUUUUGAAAAGGGUCCAAUAAAGAAUACAGGUGUCAAGUAAAAAAUUCAUAUUUUUCUGUGUCUGGUUAAACAUGCACCUUCUAUUAUGCAGCAAUUCAAGCAUUAAGUUAUGUCUCAACAUUGUGUAUACAAAAUUCGUUCUACAAGUAUUGCUGCCAUUAUUUCACCCCAGGGAAUCUCUCAGACUGUAAAAUCUAACCAGGUCAAACUUUUGAGAUUUGGUGCAGGAUGUGUAAAACAGAACUACGGAAAAUAAGCUUGCUUGCUUCUCCACAAAACUGCCAGAACUCACAACCACUUUGAAUUUACCUCUUCCAGGGUACUCUUCUUUGAAGCUUCAUGUUUUAUAUGUAGGUAUAUAAAACACAUGGGUGUAUACGUAUAGUUCCUCCUUUUUGCAUGAUACCCAGCAGGGAUGAGUUAAAAUAGUAAUCUAAUCCAAAUUAUCUCAGGGCACACUGCACUGAGGAGCAAACACAUAUUUAAGAGAGAAGAUUAUUCAUUUUCAGGAUUUGUUUUUAAGUUUUUUCUCACAUCUUCAACUUUUCAAAAACUUUCUUAAGGCAAAUAAUCUCAGAGUCAUUUGACCAUUCCGUCUUUGGAAAACACUGUUGGUUAAGAAUAAAAAAGCAAGAUGGAAAGAAUAAAAUGAAGGUGGACAUACAUACAUGCCUGACAUCCAUAUUUUAAUGAAGAACUCUCCUCCUCGAGGAACCACUCUGUAAAUCUAUACCAAUCCCUGACAUAUCUUCACAUAACUACUCUUAAGCCAUACUCUUUCAACAAAAUGCUGAAUGUAUGACAUUUGCUCCUUUCCACAAGCAGGUAUCCACUGGUGGAAUAACAACUGCAAAGAAUUUGACAAACUUUACAUUUUCAUACAGAGUACUUUUUGAUCCUGUAAGGCCCCAUAAACUGCUAUAUGAAGCUUUACUGAACAGUGCAAUACUUUGCUUGACAGCAAAGGACAACCUGAAAGAAGGAAUUCAACUGCUGUGUAUAAGUAAUGCAGCACACCAUGAUGGUAGCAGUCAGCUCAUCAAUGCUUGACAAGAACAGAAAUUCAGAGUUUAUGGAUACAAUUUUUGUGAUAUGAAGGCUAAAGAAGAUGCACUGUGCAAACCAAGAAGCACCAUCCACAACCACAGGCAUGCAUUACUUUGUAAAGCACUCAGUUGUUUUGCUGUAAAAUUACAGAGAUCAGUUACCAUUACUACUUGCAAAUCAAUUUGCUAUCAUAGGUCACUAAUGACUGCAAAUGAAUAGAAGAAAAAAGAAUCACUUAGUCUGUUCCUGGGACACAACUAUCUGGCAAAACCUCAGGUACAGUGUCUUGAAUCAGGCACAGGAGAUGCAUUUGAGACCUCAUUCACAAACUCAUUAGCCUGAAAUGAUUAUAAUUUUCCUCAACUACCUUUUAAAACACAGAAUGAUAACUGUUAUGGAUUCUGGCAGAAGUGCUACUGUAAGAAACAUCUGCUUGAAAAAAUGAAAAAAUAUGUCUUAAAAAAAUUACAGACUCAUAAGACUUCAGAACUGGAAGGAAAAUAUUGAAAGAAGAAGAAAGGUAGCAUGUUUGGGAACAUUUUCUUCUGUAAUUUAAGAUUACUGCACAUUCUGUGAAAUAGAAAGUGUGUAUGAAAAAGCAUUCUUAUUUAUUAUUUGACAUCCUGUAAAUUAAAUAUACCUAUUAAUGCAUUUAGUAUGUAUUACAUAUUGAAGUAGUGAGAUUUACAAAAACUUAAACUGAGGUAAACAUAUAAAUACUGCAGGAUUCCAUGGAGAUGGAGAUACCCAUCAAAACAAAAGGCAUGACAAAACUGGGAGGUAAACAGUUGCAAAGGCAAUGAAUGUUACAAGCUCAGGGUGUUACUCACAGAUGCUGUUGGAUAGGUACACCAUCCUUUACCAGUAUGCUACAUAGUGGGUGCUACAGAGCUGACACAUUUGCUGACACCAUUGAUAGGAAGAACCGGACCCUUGUUUCCUACCUAAAACAGGAGCUAUAUUUUUAUUCAAUUCUCUAUACUGCUGCAUGAAAUAUAGCUUAUUUUAAAAGCUCUCUCUAAAGAAAUAAAAUGAAUAGCUGCUCUCUUUCAUGAGAAUAGAACUUGUUCCUAGGAAGAAAUCUCCAGUUGGCACCAAACAAUAAACAGCCCAGAAAAAAACCCAGUCAAUAGAAAUUUUGUCCAAGGAAUAGUACAAAUAAGCCCUGGUCUUGAACCCCAAAAGAGCAACUAAACUUCAGAAGAAGAUUGAGAAACUACUUGCUACCACUAGCAGAUUCACGUUAAAAUCAAUUUUCAGAAAAAAAAGCUUUAAUAGCUUUCUGAUUUACAGAAUCAUCUGUACAGUGCUCAAGUUCAAAUCCAUUUCCCCACAGCUGAACCACUGUUUAGAAGUAGAACAAUAAAUCAUAUUAAAGAUACACCUGUGUAGAGAUGCAAAAUGUGAACAUAAGAACAGAUGAGCUCUGCAGCUCUUUUAAGGAACUUGUAAACUGCUACUCAGAUUCAAUGGUGAGGCAGCUAAUUUGCUUUUCCUAUGGUAAAAAGAGAACUGAGUAAUUAACUUGUAUCUCUUAUUAUUUUAAAAAGAAAUUAAAGUUUCUAGAUAUCUGUAGCUAAUGUGCUUCUAUUCUGCCUGCUUUCUAUGCUGAUUUGGUUAUUAUGCAGGUAGAAGGUUCGGCUAACUUCCUAACUUAAAUACACAUGGCAGAUUGCUUGCAUAGUUUCAGAAAAUGAAUAACUGGCUAUCACAGAAUCAGAAUCACAGAAUCAUAGAGGUUGGAAGCGACCUCUGGAGAACAUCUACUCCAACCUCCUGCUAAGGCAAGUUCCCCACAGUAGGUUAUGCAGGAAAGUGUUCAAUUCCAGUGCUCUGUCACCCUCACCGUAAAUAAAUUUUUCUUCACGUUCGUAUGUAACUCCCUGUGUUCCAUUCUGUGUCCUGUCACUGGGCAUCACUGAAAAGAGGCUGGCCCCAUUCACUUGACUCCCACACUUUAGAUACUUAUAAUCAUUGAUAUUUAUAACCAUUGGUAAGAUUUCCCCCUCAGUCUUCUCCAAACAGAGUAGUCCCAGGACUCUCAGCCAUUUCUCAUAAAGGAGAUGCUCCAGGCCUCUCAUCAUCUUUUUGGUCCUCUGCUGGACUCUAUCCAGUAGUUCUCGGUCUUUCUUGAACUGAGGAGCCCAGAACUGGACUAAGUACACCGGAUGUGGCCUCACUGGAGCAGAGUGAAGGGGGAUAACCUCCCUCAACCUAUUGGCCACAGUCUUUUUUAAUACAUUUCAGGAUACCAUAUGUCUCCCUGGCCACAAAGGCACACUGCUGGUGCAUGGUCAACCUGCAGUCUAUCACGACACCCAAAUCCUUCUCUGCAGAGCUCCUUUCCAGCAGGUCAGUCCCUUACUUGUACUGAUGCAUGAAGCUAUUACUCCCCGGGUGUAGGACUCUACACUCACCCUUGUUGAAAUCCACAAAGUUCAACUCUCCGUCCCAACUCUCCAGCCUGUUCAGGUCUUGCUGAAUGGCAGCACAACCUUCCAGCUGUGUCAGCCGUUCCUCCCAGCUUUAUAUGACCUGCAAACUUGCUGGGGUUACCUUCUAUCCCUUCAUCCAGAUCACUGAUGAAGAUGGUGAACAAGACUGGACCCAGCACUGACCCCUGGAGAACACAGCUUGCUACAGGUCUCCAACUAGACUCUGUGCUGCUGGAUCACAACAUUCUGUACUCUUGACAGUCAGCCAGUUCUCAGUCCACCUCACUCAUCUAUUCCACACUCCCUAAACCUGUCUAUGGGGACGUUAUGGGAAACAGUGCCAAAAGCCUUGCUGAAGUCAAGGUACACAAGAUUCACUGCUCUCCUCUCAUCUACCCAGCCAAUUAUGAUAUUGUGGAAAGUUGGUCAAGCACGAUUUUUCCCUUGGUGAAUCCAAGUUAGCCACUUCUUCUCUUCCAUUUACUUGGAAAUGAAAUCCAGAAUAAGUUGUCCCAUCACCUUUCCAUGGACAGAGGUGAGGCUGACUGGCCUGUAAUUUCCCAGGUCUUUCUUCCUGCCCUUUUUGAAGACUAGACUGACAUUGGCUUUCCUCCAUUUUUUCCUGGAGGAAAUGAGAAGCACCACUCUCAUUCUCCAUGACUUUUCGAAGAUGGUACAGAAUGGUUUGGCAAGCACUUCUGCCAGCUCCCUCAGCUCUUAUCGGUGCAUCUCAUCGGGGCUCAUCGAUAUGUUUGUGUUGAGUUUGCCUAGAUGAUCUCUGACCAAAUCUUUCUCAACCAAACAGAGGAGUCUCUUUUUCCAGGCUCUCUGGACAGUAUGGGAUGUCUGAAGGUCAGUCUUAGCAGUAAAGACUGAAGCAAAGAAAGCAUUCAGUGGAGAAGGAAUGGUUACCAGGACACCCACUUCAUUAACCAGUGGGCCCACUUUUUCCCUACUCUUACUUUUGCUAUUGAUAUACUUAAAGAAGUCAUUCUUAUUGUCCUUGACCUCCCUUACCAAAUUUAAUUCCAAGUGGACCUUAGCCUUCCUCAACACAUCCUUGCAUGUCCUGACAACAUUCCCGUAUUUCUCCCAAGCGGUCAGACCCUUUUUCCACAUGCCAUAAGCCUCUUCCAUUUGAGUUUUUCCACGACCUCCUUGCUCAUCCAUGUGGUUCUCCUCUCAUCUUUGCCUGAUUUCAAAAUCUUACGGAUGCACCAAUCUUUAGCUUGGAGCAAGUGGUGCUUGAAUGUCACCCAGCUCCCUUAGGCCCCCUUACUUUUCAGUACUCUAACCCACGGGUAUCUCAGAGUAGGUCCUUGAAGAGGUCAAAGCUGGCUCUCUUGAAAUACAGUGUUGCAAUCCUACUUAUUGCCCUGUUUCUUCCAUGUAAGAUCCUGAAUUCCACUAUCCCACAGUAACUGCAUCCAAGGCUGCCUCGAACAUUCACAUUCCAACUGGUUCCUCCUUGAUCUUACAAACAAGGUCCAACAGCAUACCUCUCCUCACUGGCUCCUCUACCACCUCUGUCAGAGUUAUCUUCCACUUCCUCAACGGCGCAUGCCUGGUGGUUUCGCUUUUCAAGACAUUAUCAAUAUGAUUGAAGUCCCCCAUGAGAAACAGUGCCUGUGGUCAUGUGGCUACUUCCAGCUGUUUGUAGAAACCCUCAUCAACUUCCUCCUCCUAAUCAGAUGGCCUGUAGUACAUACCCACAAUGGUGUCAUCUGUAUUAGCUUGCCCCCUAAUUCUUAGCUCCAAGCUCCUAUUUGCUCAUCAUUCAUUCCUAGGCAGAGUCUGAUACAUUCAAGUGGCUCCCUCACAUAAAGGGCAAAUCCAUCACUUCAUCUUGCUGGCCUGUCUUUCCUAAAAAGUAUAGCAAGGAAAGUAGCAGUAUCACUAACUCCAAAUAUCCAGAUCUGAAUUGGAUGCAAAAAGCUACAGAACAUAAAUCUCAGCAUAAAAAAAAAAAAUCAUGAUUUUAUCACAGGCCUCAUGGAAGUCGAGGUAGUUGCUUCUUUUUCUGAAAGCCUCAGGGAUCAAGAGACUGUGCAUACACACUACAAUGAAACAGUACCUGUAACUUGUAUCUGUGAAUUGGGACUGCAAAAUACUAGAGUGAAGUAGGCAUAAAUUUUUCUUUUGAGUUUUUCUUGUCUAGCAAUCUAGAGAGAUGCACCAGCUGAUUUUCUAAAAUCUAGGAUAGCAUUAUGAAAACAUAACCAGAUUUUUAUAAUCAGAGAAUUUUCAUUAGAAUACUACUGUAGGACUGUGCUGAAGCAUUAAUCCUGGGUGAAGAUAAAGAGCUAUCUUAAGCUUUGGAUUUAGUCUAGUAGUACAAUACUGUAAAAGUAUGUCCCUACUUUCAGGGCUAGAAUACAGUCCUCAAGUAAUGCCUUCAGGGAUUAAUUUCUAUCAUAAUAAAUCCCCUUCUGCCUUAAAAAAAAAAAAAGUAUAAUCUCUUCCCUUUCUAAAGGUCUAUAGCCUGAGCUACUUUAUUUGAAUGUGAAAGAGCAGUAGGUCACUGUACUUCAGCACGCUGUGCUACAUGCUUUUCAAGCAUCUGAAGGCUGACAAUAUGAAAUACAAGCAGAAAUAGAAAACAGCUUAAAAAGUAAAUUCUUCUCUCUUUUUUAGGUUACAAAGAGUUCAUUUGUAUGUCAACUGGCUCUUCAGGGAAAAAAAUGAACUAUUCCUGUCAAUUCAAAUCAUUAUUAGUAAGAAAUGGAUCAGAAGUGAUUAAAAGAGGAGUACGGUUGUACAAUGUACUCCUGAAUAUUUCUGCAACUUCUGGAAAAGAUUUUGUGCACUCACUGUGACAAGGAUUUGAGGUAUGCCACCACACAUGGAGAGAUUGUUUCACUGGAGGAAAAGAGAUGCGUUCUCCUAUGCUGGCUGACCAACACCAUCAGUUUCAGAUCACACCCAGCCUCUGCUGACAGGUAUGACGUUUUUCUAUGCAAGCAAGGAAGUAGAUGAUGAAUGCCUUUAACGUAGAUACCUGGACCCCUAACAAUACAACCAUUCACAACAUAGCUGGCAAAAAGCUGGCAAAAGAAAAAUAGCACAGUUGUACCCCUCAUAUGCAUAUACUGGCCUUAUGUGGCAAGGAUAUUUAGUGGGGGUGCUGCAGGGAUGGUCAGUGUGAGCAGAGCCCAGCAGUGCUCCAUGUCAGAGCAGAGCAGCUCCAGCUGCUCCAACAGGGACCUGCCACUGCCAGAACUGAGCCGUGAGUGACACUGCGUGUGCUCUGGGAGAGCUGAGUUAAGGGAGGAAACAACACAGUGUGACAGCAGCUGGGAGAGGGAUCUCCUGAUACAGCUUUGGGUAUCUCCUGGCAAAAGGACUUUUUGCAAAAGAACGAACCACAUCAAACUAAAAGAUACUCUACCCAAUGAAGCAGGAACCAGCUGAGAUAAAAAAGAGGAAAAUGGCAACCCACCAAGUCCUACAUGAGGUGUGUGUCUGGGAUGUCCAGACCUCACAACAAGUCUGACAAUUUCUACAAAAUAU